UCUCACAUGAGGAACUAGUGUUCCCGUGUCAAUACCCGUUUUCGCUUUACAAUCAUAGAAUGGAGGCGAGUGGAAACAAGGCUCCAUCGACAUAGCCCGACCACACGAAGGAUCGGGAGUUGUACGGUUUUCGGGUCUAUAGAGUAUCCAAGGCUUUAAACCUCCAAGACCUUGAGCUACAUAUCCAAAUGUAGACCAAGCAC
rnacentral:sRNA from 1 species